rnacentral:tRNA from 1 species
UGUUCGGUGGCGGAGUUGGUUAACGCGCCCUGUCUAGCAAACUUGGGGAGACGUGGGUUCAAAUCCCACCAGAACUA